GACGAACGCUGGCGGCGUGCUUAACACAUGCAAGUCGAACGCUGAAGCUCAGCUUUUGUUGGGUGGAUGAGUGGCGAACGGGUGAGUAACACGUGAGUAACCUGCCUCCUUCUUUGGGAUAACGCCCGGAAACGGGUGCUAAUACUGGAUAUUCACUGGUCUUCGCAUGGGGGUUGGUGGAAAGGGUUUUUCUGGUGGGGGAUGGGGUCGCGGCCUAUCAGCUUGUUGGUGGGGUGAUGGCCUACCAAGGCUUUGACGGGUAGGCGGCCUGAGAGGGUGACCGGUCACGUUGGGACUGAGAUACGGCCCAGACUCCUACGGGAGGCAGCAGUGUGGAAUAAUGCACAAUGGGCGCAAGCCUGAUGCAGCGACGCCGCGUGAGGGAUGGAGGCCUUCGGGUUGUGAACCUCUUUCGCUAAUGGUCAAGCCGCAACAAUGGUUGUGGUGAGGGUAGUGGGUAAAGAAGCGCCGGCUAACUACGUG
rnacentral:rRNA from 1 species